GGAGGAUCCGAGCGUUAUCCGGAUUUAUUGGGUUUAAAGGGAGCGUAGAUGGAUGUUUAAGUCAGUUGUGAAAGUUUGCGGCUCAACCGUAAAAUUGCAGUUGAUACUGGAUGUCUUGAGUGCAGUUGAGGCAGGCGGAAUUCGUGGUGUAGCGGUGAAAUGCUUAGAUAUCACGAAGAACUCCGAUUGCGAAGGCAGCCUGCUAAGCUGCAACUGACAUUGAGGCUCGAAAGUGUGGGUAUCAAACAGGAUUAGAUACCCUGGUAGUCCACACGGUAAACGAUGAAUACUCGCUGUUUGCGAUAUACGGCAAGCGGCCAAGCGAAAGCGUUAAGUAUUCCACCUGGGGAGUACGCCGGCAACGGUGAAACUCAAAGGAAUUGACGGCCGUCAAUUCCUUUGAGUUUGGUAUUACCGCGGCUGCUG
rnacentral:rRNA from 1 species